GAUGAACGCUAGCGGCAGGCUUAACACAUGUAAGUCGAGGGGUAUAGUUCUUCGGAGCUAGAGACCGGCGCACGGGUGCGUAACGCGUAUGCAAUCUACCUUUGCAGAGGGAUAGCCCAGAGAAAUUUGGAUUAAUACCUCAUGGUAUGUGAGAAUGGCAUCAUUUUCACAUUAAAGUCACAACGGCAAAAGAUGAGCAUGCGUCCCAUUAGCUAGUUGGUAAGGUAACGGCUUACCAAGGCAACGAUGGGUAGGGGUCCUGAGAGGGAGAUCCCCCACACUGGUACUGAGACACGGACCAGACUCCUGCGGGAGGCAGCAGUGAGGAAUAUUGGACAAUGGGCGCAAGCCUGAUCCAGCCAUGCCGCGUGCAGGAUGACGGUCCUAUGGAUUGUAAACUGCUUUUGUACAGGAAGAAACACUGGUUCGUGAACCAGCUUGACGGUACUGUAAGAAUAAGGAUCGGCUAACUCCGUGCCAGCAGCCGCGGUAACAC
rnacentral:rRNA from 1 species